AACGCACGAGACCUGCGGACCUGCGGAAGGAUCAUUAAUGAGAAGCUGCCCCUCGUGGGUAGACCUCCCACCCUCUGUGAACUUACCUUUGUUGCUUUGGCAGGCCCGUCCUCUGGACCGCCGGCUUCGGCUGGCCCGUGCCUGCCAGAGGAUUCCGAACCCUGUCUGUCAGUGUUGUCUGAGUCUAUAUGAAAUCGUUAAAACUUUUAACAAUGGAUCUCUAGAUCGGAAGAGCACACG
rnacentral:misc_RNA from 1 species